rnacentral:tRNA from 1 species
GAGUUUAAUGGCAAGCUCGGCCGCAUUGUCCGGCAGCUUCUGCUCGCCGAAGACGACGAUAAAAUCGUUGCCGAGUCCGUGCAUCUUGGUAAAUUCC